GGCUUUGUGGUGCAUUAGCUAGUUGGUGGGGUAAUGGCCCACCAAGGCGACGAUGCAUAGCCGACCUGAGAGGGUGAUCGGCCACACUGGAACUGAGAUACGGUCCAGACUCCUACGGGAGGCAGCAGUGGGGAAUCUUCCGCAAUGGGCGAAAGCCUGACGGAGCAACGCCGCGUGAGCGAAGAAGGUCUUCGGAUUGUAAAGCUCUGUGAUAUUGGACGAACAAUUUCCCGAGGGAAUGCUCUUGGAGUGACGGUACCUUACCAGAAAGCCACGGCUAACUACGUGCCAGCAGCCGCGGUAAUACGUAGGUGGCAAACGUUGUCCGGAAUUACUGGGCGUAAAGGGCGAGUAGGUGGUUUGCUAAGUCAGAAGUGAAAACUCCGGGCUCAACCCUGGACGUGCAUUUGAAACUGGUAGACUUGAGUGCAAGAGAGGGAAGUGGAAUUCCUAGUGUAGCGGUGAAAUGCGUAGAUAUUAGGAGGAACACCAGUGGCGAAGGCGACUUCCUGGCUUGUAACUGACACUGAGGCGCGAAAGCGUGGGGAUCAAACAGGAUUAGAUACCCUGGUAGUCCACGCCGUAAACGAUGAGUGCUAGGUGUCGGGGGUAUCGACACUCAGUAACGAAGCUAACGCAAUAAGUAUUCCGCCUGGGGAGUAUGCACGCAAGUGUGAAACUCAAAGGAAUUGACGGGACCCCGCACAAGCGGUGGAUUAUGUUGUUUAAUUCGACGCAACGCGAAGAACCUUACCAGGCCUUGACAUACUCGGCGGCAGCCAUGGAAACAUGGUCUUUCGCCUUCGGGUGAACACGGAGACAGGUGGUGCAUGGUUGUCGUCAGCUCGUGUCGUGAGAUGUUGGGUUAAGUCCCGCAACGAGCGCAACCCUUGUCUUUAGUUACCAUCAUUCAGUUGGGGACUCUAGAGAGACUGCCGGUGACAAACCGGAGGAAGGUGGGGAUGACGUCAAAUCAUCAUGCCCCUUAUGACUUGGGCUACACACGUACUACAAUGGCGUAUACAGAGAGACGCAAGGUGAGUGAUGUGAAGCGAAACCCAAAAAAGCAGUCUCAGUUCGGAUUGAAGUCUGCAACUCGACUUCAUGAAGUCGGAAUCGCUAGUAAUCGCGAAUCAGAACGUCGCGGUGAAUACGUUCUCGGGGUUUGUACACACCGCCCGUCAAACCACGAAAGUUUAUAAUACCCAAAGCCGGUGGCCUAACCG
rnacentral:rRNA from 1 species